rnacentral:rRNA from 1 species
AGUGAACGCUGGCGGUAGGCCUAACACAUGCAAGUCGAACGGCAGCACAGUAAGAGCUUGCUCUUACGGGUGGCGAGUGGCGGACGGGUGAGGAAUACAUCGGAAUCUACUUUUUCGUGGGGGAUAACGUAGGGAAACUUACGCUAAUACCGCAUACGACCUACGGGUGAAAGCAGGGGAUCUUCGGACCUUGCGCGAUUGAUUGAGCCGAUGUCGGAUUAGCUAGUUGGCGGGGUAAAGGCCCACCAAGGCGACGAUCCGUAGCUGGUCUGAGAGGAUGAUCCGCCACACUGGAACUGAGACACGGUCCAGACUCCUACGGGAGGCAGCAGUGGGGAAUAUUGGACAAUGGGCGCAAGCCUGAUCCAGCCAUACCGCGUGGGUGAAGAAGGCCUUCGGGUUGUAAAGCCCUUUUGUUGGGAAAGAAAAGCAGCAGGUUAAUACCCCGCUGUUCUGACGGUACCCAAAGAAUAAGCACCGGCUAACUUCGUG